rnacentral:sRNA from 1 species
GGCACAAAUAAAUGAAGCUCUAGCUCAGUAUGUUCAUGUAUCAAUAUUGUAGUAUUUAAAAUGUCCUCAUGUCUCCGAUUCCCUUGCUUUGUCCUCUCACUUCUUUAGCAGAUGUCUCAAGAAAAUAUUGAGGAAGCAGGGUAUCAUCUGUAGGCUCUUAUGACCCCUAGUUUUCUUCUGGAUCAUCUUGCUCUGUGUGCAUGUGUAUGUGUGUAUGUGUGUAAUAACUACACAUAGAAGAAGUGCCUUGGAAGGUUUCUGAAGAGAACUGUUAGUGUUUCAUUUGGCUUUGUAAUUCUAAUGAGUUCUUAUCUAACCAACUCCCUUCUUUUUUUUUCAGAUGAGUUUGAUGCCUACAUCAUUGUGUCUUUCGUGAAUGCCACCCUGGUGUUGUCCAUUGGAGAAACUGUAGAAGAAGUGACUGACUCCGGGUUCCUGGGGACCACCCCGACCUUGUCCUGCUCCUUAUUAGGAGAUGAUGCCUUGGUGCAGGUCUAUCCAGAUGGCAUUCGGCACAUACGAGCAGACAAGAGAGUCAAUGAGUGGAAGACCCCUGGAAAGAAAACAAUUGUGAAGUGUGCAGUGAACCAGCGACAAGUGGUGAUUGCCCUGACAGGAGGAGAGCUGGUCUAUUUCGAGAUGGAUCCUUCAGGACAGCUGAAUGAGUACACAGAACGGAAGGAGAUGUCAGCAGAUGUGGUGUGCAUGAGUCUGGCCAAUGUGCCCCCUGGAGAGCAGCGGUCUCGCUUCCUGGCUGUGGGGCUUGUGGACAACACUGUCAGAAUCAUCUCCCUGGAUCCCUCAGUGAGUGACACUCUGAGCUUCAAGGAUCGUCUGGUUGGAACCUGAGCAUCUGGCCCACUCCUGAUGUCUGUCCCUGAGAUCAGCUGGGUUAGACCCCAGAAUCCGUACCUGCUGCUUCUCUUGUCACUGCAGUGUGUUUCAGGAGUUUCCUGUUGUCGUUUAAGGAUAUGAUCUGAGACUACAGAAAUGUUUCUGUGGCUUAAGCCUCAACUCCCUUUUUUUAGUUAACAACCAAGGCUGC